UACGAAGGGGGCUAGCGUUGCUCGGAAUCACUGGGCGUAAAGGGUGCGUAGGCGGGUCUUUAAGUCAGGGGGGAAAUCCUGGAGCUCAACUCCAGAACUGCCUUUGAUACUGAAGAUCUUGAGUUCGGGAGAGGUGAGUGGAACUGCGAGUGUAGAGGUGAAAUUCGUAGAUAUUCGCAAGAACACCAGUGGCGAAGGCGGCUCACUGGCCCGAUACUGACGCUGAGGCACGAAAGUGUGGGGAGCAAACAGG
rnacentral:rRNA from 1 species